rnacentral:tmRNA from 1 species
CACAACAGGCUGGUUCCCGGAUGCGCUUUGCACGCCGUGCUGUUCGGGGACGAGAUCCAACGGUGAGCUAAGCAUGUAGUGCUGGGGAUGGAGUGCCUUCGGACGGCGGUUCAAUUCCGCCCACCUCCACCA